CGGACGGGUGAGUAACGCGUGGGUAACCUGCCUCAUACAGGGGGACAACGGUUAGAAAUGACUGCUAAUACCGCACAAGCGCACAGUACCGCAUGGUACGGUGUGAAAAACUCCGGUGGUAUGAGAUGGACCCGCGUCUGAUUAGCUAGUUGGUGAGGUAACGGCCCACCAAGGCAACGAUCAGUAGCCGACCUGAGAGGGUGACCGGCCACAUUGGGACUGAGACACGGCCCAG
rnacentral:rRNA from 1 species